GAGUUUGAUCAUGGCUCAGAAUGAACGCUGGCGGCGUGCUUAAGACAGCAAGUCGUGCGCGAAAGUGGCUUCGGCCAUGAGUAGAGCGGCGAACGGGUGAGUAACACGUGGGUAACCUACCUGGGAGUGGGGGACAACUCGGGGAAACCUGGGCUAAUACCGCAUUCGCUCCGAGGGCUGCGGCCCGACGAGGAAAGAUGGCCUCUACAUGUAAGCUGUCGCUCCCAGAGGGGCCCGCGUCCGAUUAGCUAGUUGGUGAGGUAACGGCCCACCAAGGCGACGAUCGGUAGCCGGCCUGAGAGGGUGAUCGGCCACACUGGAACUGAGACACGGUCCAGACUCCUACGGGAGGCAGCAGUCGGGAAUAUUGGGCAAUGGGCGAAAGCCUGACGCAGCAACGCCGCGUGGAGGACGAAGGCCUUCGGGUCGUAAACUCCUGUCAGGUGGGACGAAGGAGGCGUAGAUUAAGAGUCAGCGUCUCUUGACGGUACCACCAGAGGAAGCCCCGGCUAACUCCGUGCCAGCAGCCGCGGUAAUAC
rnacentral:rRNA from 1 species